UGCUGUGAAGCGGCUAGAAUUCCAGGUCCAUGCAUUCGAGCCAAUGGGGGCUGGGGGUGGGAGAGAGCAAGGCUGGGCCCCUCUCCCUGGUGUCUCUGGGAUUGAAGAUAUGCAUCCCUAAAACCCUCCUGAAUAUGCGGGACCAGUUGAAGAGGACUCAGCAGAGCCUUGGAGUGGAGAGGUCGCUACAGUCAGCAGAGGUUUCACCUGGAUCUCUGUGCUUCUUACGGAGACACAUUACAGACCAGACAGAGCCUGGAAAUCAUAACUUCCCGAGUCCACAGAGUGCUCUUAGGAAGCAGGCAGUAUUGAUGUCCCCACUUUUCUGAUGAGAAAACCGAGGCUCAGAGAGAUAAAGUAGUAGGCCCAAGGUCACAUAGUGGGGAGAGGCCAAGUUCUGAGCCUCUGACCCAUUUGGACCCCCAACCCAAUCCUCACAGUUGCCCAACACACAUAACAUAGGCAGAGGUGCUCUGGGCACCACUACCCAGCAUUCUCAGGGGCCUCUGGGUUAGGGCCAUUCCACCCACCUGUAAGAAGAUCCUGCCCAGGCUGUAAUCUUCUCUGACGGGCAAUGUGGACUGCCGGCUUCCAGUCGCCUGUCUCUGCACACUUGAUGCUGUUUCUAUUUUUUGAUUGGAGUUUAAUUAUAAAGCAUGCUGUCCUCUCCCUUCUGCUUCCCCUUGCCACUCCCUACUCAUCCACUGGUCCCAGGGCAUGGUCAGUCCCAGGCCUCAGUCUUAAUGUUAGACACACAGGAAGCUCAGAAGGGUCGCCUGUGCUGUGUGGCAUGAGGUAGCCGGGCGGGGAGAAGGAAAUAUAUCAAGCAAACCAUCUUUAAAAUUCCCUUUAGAGCCAGAGAGUGGUGGUGCAUGCCUUUCAUCUUAGCACCGCCUAGGUAGAGGCAGACAGAUUUUUGUGAGUUCAAGGACAGCCUGGUCUAUAUAGUGAGUUCUAGGACAGCCUGGUCUAUAUAGUGAGUUCUAGGACAGCUUGGUCUACAUAGUAAGUUCUAGGAAAGCCACUAUGUGACUAAAGUGGAGAUCCUGUCUUAAACAAAAAUUCACAUAAAACAAAAAACUACCUCCUUUCAGGGCUUAGAGGUGUUUGUUUAGUGGUACAGUAGUGGUUGAAGCCCUGAGUUCCAUUCCAGCACUAUCCAAAAUAAACAGACAGACAGACAACCCCCCACAACUCCCUUGACUUUCAAAGGUUACCCAAAACAAGGGCAGAAGAGCUGAAAAGGUGUAUGCUGAGGACAGAGAUGAAAUUCAAGGCAUACACAGAGGUGGCAUGGCGAACAUCAGCACAUAGGCCCAGAAGCCUCUAUUUGGGGGAAACUAGCCCAGGACUAAGGUCUGGCAGACUCAGUGCGGGUAGCAGGGAUAGACGAAGGUGUAGGGGACUACAGAGCAGGUUCGUGCGCUUGGAGCCUUCAUCUGGGAGCAGCUCUCCCUCCACGGCCCUCUCCCUCCCUCAAAGAUGGGGAUGCCAGGGGGAUGCCUAGUGAUAGCCCACUGCGUUUGAGAUUAAAUCCUCUCCUUUUAAUCCAGAUGCCCUAGCCAGACACCCAUAUCAUAUACUCCCCAGUCCUAUGACACACACAUACACACACACACACACACACACACACACACACACACACACACUCCCUCAGCCAAUGAACUCCCAGGAGCUAAGACUCAACCACUGCGGGAGAGCUGGAGAAAGCAUUGAGAAUCAUCCUCCUUGGCCCACCAGGACCUUGGGGACCCCUGAUCCAGAACCUCAGAGCUUGACUGCCAGCCCACUCCCACCUGUGAAGACUGAAGCCGGCAGCUGAGAGGGUGUGCAGAACGCUGGAGGAAGCCGAUGAAGCACCAGGGGACAGCACAGCAGUGAACCCGCCAUCUCGGGGGACACUCUUGGUGACUAACACCAGUGCACUGCAGAGGAAGCCUGGGGGCCCGGACUGGCUCCGCUGCUGGCUGGGAAUUUGCUCUGGCCUGCACCCCGCAGUUGCUGGUCCAGUUGGCGGAGCUGGCGGAGGAAGCCGCGGUUGGGGAAGAUCCAUCGGUGCUGACUUACCGCGAGGACUGCCUGCCGCAAGGAG